CGUUAAAGCUUCAUUGUUUUUAUCAAAAAUACCAUCAAUUAACUGUAACCCUUCAUCUGUACUGAAUGAUUUCAUAAUUAUAUGAAAGCCUAUAUGUUAGAACUAGUAACAAGAAGAAGCCCUUCUCCAAAAUGUAAGCAUAAGCCAAAAUGAACUACUCAUUGGCAUUUAAAGUUAUAAACCUAUUGUAGCAACUUAACAAGAAAAACCUACAACUGCAAACGUCAACCUUACACCAGCACAUUUCUGGAAAGAUAAAAAGAAUAGGAAGGAACUCGGCAAAUAACUAACCCCGCCUGUUUACCAAAAACAUCGCCUCCUGAUCACCCAUAGGAGGUCCAGCCUGCCCAGUGACUAAAUUAAACGGCCGCGGUACACUAACCGUGCAAAGGUAGCGCAAUCACUUGUUCUUUAAAUGAGGACUAGUAUGAAUGGCAUCACGAGGGUUAUGCUGUCUCCCUAUUCCACUCAGUGAAACUGAUCUCCCCGUGAAGAAGCGGGGAUAAAAAUAUAAGACGAGAAGACCCCAUGGAGCUUUAAACUCAGUACCAACUGCCUAAUUAAGAACCUUUCAUCCCUGCAGCCAUGGUUACUAGUUUUCGGUUGGGGUGACCACGGAGUAAAAUUAAACCUCCAUGAUGAAAGGAACUAACAACCUAACCUAUGAGCUACAGCUCUAAGCAUCAAUAAAUUGACUAAUUGAUCCAAUCAGUUGAUCAACGAACCUAGUUACCCUGGGGAUAACAGCGCAAUCCAUUUCAAGAGCUCAUAUCGACAAAUGGGUUUACGACCUCGAUGUUGGAUCAGGGUAUCCCAGUGGCGCAGCCGCUACUAA
rnacentral:rRNA from 1 species